rnacentral:lncRNA from 1 species
GUAUAUAACAGACGAUGGGGUCUGACAAGUUCUCCAUGACUUCUGUCAAGUCAGAACUCACGAUAGAAAGACUGAAUCAUACGAUAACUGCAUCUAGGAGUUCGUAUUUCAUUCUACUGGAUUGUCACUACAUACUGCUAGGUGUCACUGAUGGAUUGUGAGACUCAUCGGGUUCAUCUUAAUGAUCGAUGGCCCUCGAAGGAUAGAAUUAAAAAUAUUUCAAUCCAUCAAAAAGAG